rnacentral:rRNA from 1 species
CCUACGGGAGGCAGCAGUGAGGAAUAUUGGUCAAUGGACGAGAGUCUGAACCAGCCAAGUAGCGUGAAGGAUGACUGCCCUAUGGGUUGUAAACUUCUUUUAUAUGGGAAUAAAAUGUUCCACGUGUGGGAUUUUGUAUGUACCUUAUGAAUAAGGAUCGGCUAACUCCGUGCCAGCAGCCGCGGUAAUACGGAGGAUCCGAGCGUUAUCCGGAUUUAUUGGGUUUAAAGGGAGCGUAGGUGGAUUGUUAAGUCAGUUGUGAAAGUUUGCGGCUCAACCGUAAAAUUGCAGUUGAAACUGGCAGUCUUGAGUACAGUAGAGGUGGGCGGAAUUCGUGGUGUAGCGGUGAAAUGCUUAGAUAUCACGAAGAACUCCGAUUGCGAAGGCAGUUCACUGGACUGCAACUGACACUGAGGCUCGAAAGUGUGGGUAUCAAACAGGAUUAGAUACCCGUGUAGUC